ACGAACGCUGGCGGCGUGCUUAACACAUGCACGUCGUACGGUAAGGCCCUUUCGGGGGUCCACGAGUGGCGAACGGGUGAGUAACACGUGAGUAACCUGCCCACAACUUUGGGAUAACGCUAGGAAACUGGUGCUAAUACUGGAUAUGUGCUCCUGCUGCAUGGUGGGGGUUGGAAAGCUCCGGCGGUUGUGGAUGGACUCGCGGCCUAUCAGCUUGUUGGUGGGGUAGUGGCCUACCAAGGCGGCGACGGGUAGCCGGCCUGAGAGGGUGACCGGCCACAUUGGGACUGAGAUACGGCCCAGACUCCUACGGGAGGCAGCAGUGGGGAAUAUUGCACAAUGGGCGCAAGCCUGAUGCAGCAACGCCGCGUGCGGGAUGACGGCCUUCGGGUUGUAAACCGCUUUCAGCAGGGACGAAGCUUUUUGUGACGGUACCUGCAGAAGAAGCACCGGCUAACUACGUG
rnacentral:rRNA from 1 species